rnacentral:lncRNA from 1 species
UCCAAAUCCCUUUCUUUUGCUCCAAGACUCAAUCCAUCCAAUAUUCUUCCCUGAAAUAUAAUAAAUUGCAAUUUAAAGUAAACUAUCCUAAAAAGGAAAUAAUACUAAUAUAAAAUUAUAUAAAAUCUAAAUAAAACUAAACUAAAAAGCAUAUUAAAAUAGUAUAUAAAUGACUCAUCAAACUCCCCCACACUUGAAUCUUUGCUUGUCCUCAAGCAAAAGGCAUAAACAUAGUAGCACCAACAGUUAUAUCAAAUGACAAUUCAAUUAAAGCACAUGUCUCCUCAAGGGCUUAAAUCUCAAAUGUACACUAAUCACAAACUCAAGCAUUUCUUGUAAUUUUUAUUCAACCCAACGAUCAAGUUUCAAGUGAGUGUGUGUGUGAAGUCUAACCCUUUUCUUGCUCCUGUAUAAGAUAGGCAUUAUGAGGAAACAUGGUCUAAUCCUAGCACUAAACCAACCAAGAAAGAUUCCUUCUAUAAUUCAUAUAAGAGAGAUGGGAGUAUUUGAGAAUCUUUGUUCUUUGCCAUUUGCACAUUUUAAGUUCUUUAUUUAAGGAACAACAUCUUCACGUAGGAGGUCGGAGGGCCUACCCCCUUCCCCAAUCUAGAUUCAAUGGUAUCCCUUAAAACAUCAUCUUCACGUAGGAAGUCGGAGGGCCUACCUCCUUCCCCAAUCUAGAUUCAAUGAUGCUUUUUUAAAGUUUUUCCUCAAGAUAACAAUCAUCUUCACGUAGGAAGUCGGAGGGCCUACCUCCUUCCCCAAUCUAGAUUCAAUGAUUAGAUCUUUGGAAUUUAUUUGGCUUUUUGGCUUUUUAUGAACUCCCUUAUACUAACUUAUACUACUGGCACUUUGAGAAUCUUUAAAGGUUAAUGCACCACUAAGAUUAAAACGUGUUUCCUUAAAAUACCUAUUCAUACAUUUACUCAAGGGAAGCAACUUUGUGUUUUUCUUAUUGGAGAAUUUUAUUCACUUUAAAACAAGAUGUGGGUAUAUCAAGAAGACUUAAAACACAAGAGUUUGCUUUUAUGUACAAGAAUCAAUCAAAUAAGAGGAGACAAUGAAAAUUUUGUGCCAUGAUAUUUUCAAUAAAAAUUAGCUACUUAACCAUGCCUUUUACAAUAAAACAAAACAAAAGAAUAAAGUUCAAGGGAGUUUGGAAACACUACGACUAAAGACACUUUAUUAGGCUCCCCCCACACUUAGGAGAAGCAUUGUCCUCAAUGAUUCAAAAUAAGAAAAAGAAAAAGAAGAAGAAUAAGAAGAAGAAGGAGAAGAAGAAGAAGAAGAAGAAGAAGAAGAAGAAGAAGAGAAGAAGAGAAGUAGAGAAGAGUAGAGGAAGAGGAGAGCUCACAAUUUUAUGGAAAUCCACAAGGUGGACCUUGGAGGUGAAGGUGUUGCAUCAUGUAUUGGAACAUUUGAUUGUGUUAUUCAUUUAUUUGAUUGCCCCUUAGGACAUCGUUUCUUAUCCCGACCAUUUCAACACCUUGUUUUUGUUGCUCGAUGCAUAUUAUUUGAACUUUGGUUUGCAUCCAUGUCCACCGUUUAUCAUUAUAGUUUCCACCGGCUUUUUGUUCAUGGUGUUGUGCACCUACCUCCUCUUCAUCACCACCAUCAUCACCAUCAUCUUGUACCUGUGGGUUAGUACCAACAUAAAGCAAAUUUUCCACCACCUCCGGAUUAGUAAUGUCCGAAUUAGGUAGAAUAAUCAAACAAUUAGUUCUAAUAAUUCUCCAUUCAUAUUGGUAAUUAUGAGUAUGGUCAUGGGUUCUAAGGAAAGACAAAGUAGUGAGAGUAUAUAAGUUUGGAUAAUAAUUUUCAUCUAUCCUCUUGAUCCUUUGAUUCACACUCACCCUAAACCUCUUAGCAAUAAAAGUGAGUUUGGAUUUAAAAGCAUCAUUGUAAUUUGGGUCAGUUUGGAUUUUCGUCCCUGUAAAAAAAAACAUUGAAAAACAUCCCUGUAAAAUUUUUUGUUUGAAAAAGGUCCCUGGCCCCACUUUUUUGCUGACAUGGUAUGUUUUGGCCAUGUGGCAGUUGCUGACUGUGCAACUUUUGCCACGUGGCAGUCCAUGUCAUUAAAUAUUUAAAAAUUAUUUUUUAAAAUUAAAAAAACUGAAAAAAAAUCAUAAAAAAAUCCUAUAUUUUUUUAAAUAUGAAGAAAAAAAUUGGAAAUUCCUUUUUUUUUUUUUCACAUAUGGAAAUAAAUGUUUGAAAAUUAAAAUUAAAAAUUAUAUAAUCUCAAAAUUUAUAACUUUUGAAAAUAUAAUUUUCAGUAUUUUCGAAAAAAAAUGUAAUAUAUAAUAUUCAAAUUAAAAAAAGAAUUAAUUUUCGAAAAUUGAAUUUUCACUUUUUUUUUUAAUUUUAACUAGUUUUUUUUAUGAUUUUUAAAUUUUUUUUAAUUUAAAAACAGAAUUUUGAAUAUUUUUUUUUUAAUUAUGUGGCAUGCCACGUGGCAAAAGUUGCACAGUCAGCAACUGCCACAUGGUAAAAACAAUGCCAAAUCAGAUCGGAAGUGGGGCCAGGGACCUUUUUCAAACAAAAAAUUUUACAGGGAUAUUUUUCUAAAGUUUUUUUUUUUUUACUAGGGACAAAAAUCAAAACUGGUCCAAAUUACAAGGACGACUAUCAUAUUUAUGGUCUUUUUUUUUUUUUUUUUCUUUUCUCUUCCAUUGUGUUUCUAACUGUAGCUAACUUUAAUGUACAGGAGGAACCUGAUGUAAAAGAUGCUGAUGAUGAGGUAAUUAAAGUUCCAUUUUUUUUGGACAAAAUAGAGGUGAUUAACAAAAGUUCUGGGAUUACUGCUUUUAACAAUUGUAUGGGAUCUGAUAACCACUUGACCCAUGCUGAAUUCAUAAUUUUUAGUUAAAGGAGUUUGGUGCAGUGAUAUUAUCCAUACUGGAUCCUUGCUGAAUUUAAUAAUUUUUCAGCACAUGCACAUGCUUCUGGCAGCAAAUUGUGAACUGAAGAGACUGAACUGAGCUUUAAUUUUCAAUCCCAAUCUAGUACAUAGUGGAAAUGUUAAUAUAAAAAAUAUGGAACAUUUGGGUUUACACUGUCACUAUGUGAAUUCCAUUUCGGUGAAGACACGACAUUAAGCUAUAGAUUGGAAUCAUGUUCAUGAUACAAAAAUAAUAAAUAAAGUGAACAAAUGUUUAAGAUGUUUGAUAACAAAUAAAAAACACUUGGGCAAGUAAUCCGACUGACUGGUAUUUGUACCAAGAAAGGCAUUUUUAAACGAAAUGAAUGGUGCAUAAUUUGCAUAUUAAAUUAAUGAUGCUAAAACUUUUGAACUGAUAGACUUAGAAUAUUUCUUGUUGGCAGGAAAAAGACGAGGAUGACUAUGAAGAAAAGGAUGACGAUAAGCGUGUUGUUGAGGAAGGCAAUUGAAAAUGCAUUGUGGUGGCGUGACCUGUUUAUUUUUUAUUUUCUGGUAUGAGUAUGUCUUAGGCUUUUGGGCGUUCAGACCAUGGCUUUCUUUCAGAGUAAUAACUCGUGGAAACAAGUAGAGCUACCCAGGCCAGUUAGUGGUACUCGGACCAUAAUUUACUAAUUAGCCUGUCAAGUUAUUUCUGCUAGUUUCACCCUUGGUGCAAUUUUAGUGAUACUUAUGAUAUGUUAGCUUUCUCUCCUGGGUUUUUGUUGUGAAUUACAUUGGUAUUUACUUGCUGUUUGGGUAUCUUCUUAGCAUAAAAAGGCUUACAUGGUAUAUUCAUAUUGUGUUUGUUACAUUUUUUUAAUAUUUAAAUUCAUUCUUAUCUAUUUGUUACAUGUGUUAUUUGUAUUUAAGAUUGAACGUAUUUUUGAAAGAAAAAAAAAUACCAACCCAAAAGAGCUUAUACAUUGUAGAUAGGUAAGAGGACAUUGCUUAAACACCCUUUGGGAUGUAACAAGAAAAAAAAAGAAGCGUAAUAUAUCAUUUGGUCCUUUAACUUAAUUCUUUUUUUCGAUUUGAUCCCUUAACUAUUAAGCGUUUCAAUUUGGUUUUUUAUCUUUGUUUUUGCCAUCAAUUUGGUUCUAUUUUAUUAAUUUAAACCUUUUAAAAAGAAGACUGUUGGAUAAAGGAGGUCCAUCGUAUCUAACGGUAUAUCACCAACACCUAAUUUUCAAACCCAGAAGCUUUUUAUGUUUUAUGAAUGGUCAAUAAAAGAGAGAAAAAAGAAAAGAAACAGAGUGGCUGGUGCAGGGCGGCAGUGUUUGAUUUUGAAAUUAGGGUUGAUUUUAGGAUGAAUUGGUGAAUAAAUUGAAUUUUGGUGUUGUUUGUGGUGAAUUGAAUUUGAAUUAAAAAGUCUACUCACGGUAAACUCAUCCAUUAUAAGAUAACUUAUUAGCUAUCCACUAUCAUUUUUGCCGAGCAGAACAAAAUGAUUUUUUUUUCCUUUUUUUUCUUUGAAAUGGUAAGAGUUGGAUGAUUUAUUAGAUAGAGUUUGCAAAAUAACUAUUUGGUUGAUUAAGUUAAACAAUGUCAAUUAAUUUAGUCAUUUUUCAGAAUUUAAUACCUAAGUUUUCGAAGUUCUAUAUUUGUUUUGAUCCAUCAAUAUAUCAAUGGAGUAUUCAUUAUACUAUGUAGGUUGUAAAAGUUCUAAAUUAACAUUUUCCAACAAAAAAAAAAAAGAAACAUAACUAUUAUGUUGCAAAUUUAAUGGAGUAAAUUUCUUAAGCUUUACACUUUUCAUGGGGUAAAGGCUUAGGUUUCUAGUAUACACAAUACUUUUUGUGUGUGGAUAAAUGCAAUACUUUUACUAGAGACUAUGAGUGUCAACAACCUUAAAUACACUAGUAGUCAACUAAGUAAGUCAUUAAAUACACACAAUAGGCUAGAUUGCCAUUAAGGUCUUGUUUCUUUGUGCAUAAGAUUGACAUGAAAGUAAAAUAUACUAAUAUACAAAAAUAUUUUGAUAAACGAAUGAUCUUAAUUAAUGAUAUCCUUUAAAAUGAAUACAAAACAAAAACUUGUGCUUAAUAUGUAAAUAUUAAAAACUAACAAACUUAGCAAAGGAUGAUCAGUGACUUCUUUGAUUUUGCAUAGAACUUGUCUUAAUUAUUGUAGCCGAGAACUGGUGUUAUUGUCAAUUCAGUAUUUAUGAUCACAAAAUGUCAGGUUUAUUUCAUUUUUUACUUUUAAUUUCAUCCACCUUAAAACAUUCGAAAACUGAACAUUGCAUAUUCCCUUCCAUCUUGAGAGAACUCGUGCAUUGCAAAUACCAUAAAAAAACCUUUAUUGCAAUGGGAAGAAAAAGAAAUACAUCACUUUUAAUAGUUGGUAGCAAAUGUAUUAUUAUGAAACUAAUACCUCACUAAUGUGGAUUGUUAAGUGCAAUAGGUAUCCCAACAACAUAGUUCUUUCCAUUGGUCCAAAUUAACUUUCCAAAGACAUAAUCAGACUUAUCCUUACUUUGCAGCUUGAAGGUUAAUGUAACUCUGAACUCCUUCUUUUCGCCCUUUUGAUUAAAGCUCAGCGUCUUAGGCUCAACAUAAAUUACAUAUUCCGGGGGAGCUUGGAUUUGUGCGGUAUAUGUGCUUGGAGACCCCACGUUUGUAAGAGUACGAGUAACAUUUAUAGAUUGUCCGACUUUAAAGUCCAGAAUUGUGAUUGCUGGAUAGUUGAAAUCUUUCAAAUUGAAGGAUUUUGGACAAGUGUAGGGCUUGCCAUAGAAAAACCUAAGCAUGGAACUAUUGUAGCCACGAGCGCACAAAAAGUUCAUAUAGUCAGUAAUAUUUAGGUCAUAUACAAGUCCAGGGUCGACCACACGAUUAGGUUGAAUGUGUCCUGCUCCGUAGUCAAAUGGAGUUGCCUUUUCCUUAAAUGAAUCCAAAAUAGGUCCCCCAGUGUUGUCUUCUGUUGUUGCUGCAAAAUACGUUAAUAUAUUUAGGUUGUGUUAAACUCAACGUUUUUGAACUUUGAAGCUAAAAAGAAGUGAAGUCAAAAUUAUGUUAUGUCAAACAUAACAUUGCCAUAGAAUGCAUAUACACUUGUAAAGAAAGUGCAAGAAAAUGCACAAACUGAUCUUAUCGGUGUGCGAAAUUCUACUUUACCUGUUGUCAUGAUUGCUGACUUGACAGCAGCAGGACUCCAAUUAGGAUGAAGAGAUUUUACUAGCCCAACAAGACCAGCAACAUGAGGACAUGACAUUGAAGUUCCUGACAUAAUAUUGAAAAGAGUUCUGCGUUUAUCAUAUUCUUGUUCCGAGGGAGAUAUAUUUUCACUAUAAGCAGCAAUUAUGUCGACUCCUGGUGCGGUGAUGUCAGGCUAGAACAACGGAAAACAAAAAUCAUAAUUGCAAUAAUACAAUAAGAUUAAGUUAUUAUAAGAUCAACUAAUAUAGGAUAGUCAUAUUCAAAAUAGAAGACUAAACCUUGAGGAUUGUUGGCUCAACGAGAUUUGGUCCUCUUGCUGAAAAAGAUGCUAUAAAAGGAGCUGGCUUUGUAGCCAACUGUGUUGUCACUUUAGAAAUGUAAGCCACAGGAGACCUACAUAAUACAUGAAUGAAUAAAUAUAAAAUGCUAUGAAUAAUGAAAAACAUGAAAUCAAAGGUUUUGGAAUGAAUGUUGUUGAAAUCUCGUGCAGUCUUGAUAUUAGUGGAUGGUUGGAUCAAUAUAAGACGAUACAUAUUUUAAACUGAGCCUAAAUUAUGUACCGUCCAAUCUUGAUCCAAUAGCUAUUGAUAUCAUGACUACAUGAUUGCACUGAACUCUGACCGCAAACAAUCCAAAUCCGAAAUCAAAACUAGGUAGAAUUCAUCAAGCUUGAAACAAAAUAACAAAAUCAUUACUUGGUGUGGUUAAUGUAAUUAAAAAUGUAACUGCCAUCUAUAAAGUUAACAUAUGAAGAUGGAAGCACGUGAGGAUCAGCUUGAAUUCCACUCCCUGAAUCCUUAUCUGAAUUAGCCAAAAUAAUUCCAACAGCACCUACACGAGCAGCUUCCACACCCUUAUGAGUUCUACAAAGAAAGUGACAAUCAUCUGGAACUUGAAAACAAACCAAUAUUUUCCCCUUAGCCUUUUGUGGAUCAAGAGUUCCACCCUCGCAAUUUAGGCUACAAAUGAUUUAGUAUAUUUUAAUUAGGAAAAAUUUCCACUAGAUAAAAAUUUCUUAAGAGGGUAAAUUCAGUAAAAAAAGAUAGUAUUCUUACGCGUCUUUGGAAGAUGCAUUAUCAUAUUUGACAUCAGCACCAGUUAUCAAUGGAUACAACUUAUUAGGCAGCAAUUCCAACUCUGAAAGGCUAGCACCCUAAUAGAAUAUUCUAAUUCAGUAAAAUGGUAACUGUAAUAGUAAGGGAAAUAAUAAUGAAAAUAAAAUAUGACAAUCAAUAUACCUUGAGUGUUUUGUUGUCACCAAGGGUAACAAAACUAGUGAACUCUCUAUCAAUUGUACUUGCAGCAACUGUAAACACCCAUGGUUCCAAGUUGGAUACAGUACUAGGAGCAGGUCCUGAAUUUCCUCCAGCAGCCACAACAAUUAUGUUAUUGGCAACUGCAUGGAAAGACCCUAUGGAAAUACUGCUAUCGUAAAAUUCAACAGGAAAAUCACCACCCAAAGACACUGAAAGCACGUCGACACCAUCACUUAUGGCAGCUUCAAAACCAGCCAAAAUAUCUGCAUCAUAACAUGAAUCCCAACAAACCUUAUAGGCUACAACUCGUGCUUUUGGCGAUCCACCACUUGCUGUUCCAUUGCCAUAGCCAAAUACACUUGCAUUAGCAACAAAAUUUCCUCCGGCAGUUGAUAAAGUAUGUGUACCAUGACCAUCAAUGUCACGUGCACUAUUAAAUGAUACACUGUGGAGACCUUUACCACCACUUGGACUUGCUAAAAAUCCUUUGUAAAAAUAUCUUGCUCCAAUAAGCUUCCUAUAGGUAAAAAUCACAAUAUGAGUGAUACAUAAUUGAUAAAAGUAAUAUCAAAGACAUUUUAAAAAUAUAUGUUUUAAUAUAAUUUUUUACUUGUAAGGUGACGAUUUUACUCAGAUUAGAAGGUUGUAGCAGACGAGAUUAAGUUACCUGUUGCAGAAAAAUUUAUCUUGAUUUUGUUUAUCAACUUGACAAAUUCCAUGCCAUUUUUUUGGGAUUGGUCCCAUCCCUUCAUCACUGAAACUCUUGGAUUCAGGCCAAACACCUAACAUAAACACAACAUAUCAAUCAAAAGUGGGUGUUUAACUUUUUUAAUACCCUUUUAUACUUUGUUGGAGGGUCUUACGGUAAGAGUAGGAAGAAUUAUUGUUUGUUUCUCAAAAUAUAUCAAUCUUUUCUAUUUUUCUAAAUUUUAUUGGUUCAAAAUAUAUUUUUUUGUCAAAAGAAUUUAAAACCUAAACAUUUAACAAAAGUUAUAUAAAGGGUGUGAUCGAUCUGAAUCUCCUUUUAAAGUCAUAGUAUUAUGAGGUACUAAAAAUAUAGCAAAACAAAUCGUUUUAGUUUAAUGAAUAGUCAAUAGUAAAAAAGUAGUCAAUAGUCAAGUAUCCUAUAAAGGGAGAUCAAUGAAAAACUUAAAAGGCAAAACGAAAAAGAAAAUGUAAACCAAUGUUAAGGAACUAAAUGUAGUAAAAUUAUCUUAAAUUUUUUGUAGUCAAUUUAAAAAUGUAAAAAAUGCUCAAUUAUUUUCUUUUGUUUCUUUAAUAAGUGCCCAAAACACUUAUUCAUCUCUUGUGAUUUUUUUGGCAAACUUUGGUAUGGCAUUUCUCAUUGGCUGGGUUAUCAAUUAGUGCUUCCGGAAAAUGUGUUAGACCAUUUAUAUCAAUUUGGCACCUUUAGCGGCUUUUCUAACAACAAACGCUCAACUCUUAAUCUUAUUUGGCUAUCUUGUGUGUGGGUGAUCUGGCUUGAAAGAAAUGCUCGCAUAUUUCACCAAAAAGAAGCUUAUUUUAAUCAAUUGUUAGAUAAAGUUAAGCUCCAAUCAUACUGGUGGCUGAAAGCGAACCGACCUAAUUUUGUUUUCUCCUACCAUUCAUGGUGGUUGAACCCUUUACCUUGCUUAGGAAUAUUUAUGUAACGGGGUAGCCUUCUUUUUUUGUUCUUGUUUUGGCCUUUUGGCACUCUUAUAAUUAACUCUUUUAGCCGGGGUUUUAGCACUCCUUGGUGCUGAAAUCUCCAGGCUUUCAGUUUUUUAAUCCAUUUUAGUUUACUUAAAAAAAAAAAAUAAGUGCCCAAAACAAUAGUCAUGACCUGAAAUAAUAUUUAUCAAGGUUGACGAUGACUGGACAAUGAGAUGCUUCAUUAAAAACUACUCAUCCAUUUCCAAAAAAAUUAUCAUUUCAGUAAUGAUUUUUCUUUGAAAUGUUAAAUAAAAUGGUUUCUUUAAAGGCUAUUUUUUUUUUUAUUCUUGAUCUCUCUAUUUUUUAUUUUUUUUUGAAGAAUGAUCUCUAUUUAUUAUUUUUAUGGUUAUAUCUCUUUUAAAAAUGAAAGCUUGAUUAUUUGCUACCCAAUUUUUUUCCUGACCUCAAUUCAAAUAUAAUUUGUUUUGGACUUUGAAAGUUAUUUUUAUGUCAUAAAAUAAAUCCCGACCAAAAUUAGUGAAUAAAGAUCCUCUCUAUUUUCUCAAAAAAUAGAUGAAGGAAAUUAUUUAGAAUGAGAGAUAAACAUUUAGACGGUGGAUUUCAUCAUCAUUAAUUAUUUUAUAUACAUUUUUAAAUUUCUUUGUGUCUUUAUCUAUUCAAAUGGAUGGAAGAAAAUGAGAUAAAAUAGCCUUAAGCUAUUUUAGUUUUAGAGGAAAUAAAAUCAUCGAAAAUCAAUUUACAAUGACUUAAAUCUUAUUUUAGUUUCUGAUUUAGUUGAUUAUUAUUUUUUUUUUUUGGUACAAAAGAGGGCAAAGCUCAUAUUCAGUUGAUUAUUUUCACUAAAGAUAAGUUACUUUAUACUCAUCUAAAAAAAAGUCACGUUAUACUAAACCUUUUUCGUGAAGGAGUCUAUUUUAGGUGGUGACAUGUUUUUUGUGGAUGUUGUUCUCAAGGGUGUUUAUUUUCAGGUUUUCCGCUUAUAUACGGCGUCUUUUGUUUGUAUUCUCAGUUUCACCGGUCUCUAUUCGUCUUGAGCAGGGAUUUGAUUGUUUAAUAAAAUUUGUUGCUUAAAAAAAAAAAAAAAAUCACAUGCAGCAAUAUAAAGAUAUGAUUCAUCAUUCAUUACCCGUAUCUAUAUUUCCAAUGAUAAUAUCUUCACCAAAUGAUCUCUUCCAUAUUGAAUCCUUUCGAAUUCCACCAUUGCUCUUUAACCGAAGGAAAUCCCAUGAGUGCGUUGUUUGAAGUUUAUGUUUUUUGUUCAAGAAAAUUGAUAUAACAUUAGGAUUCUCUGCAUUCACCAAUUGGGUAGCAUCAAUUAAAAAAAAAAAUUAAAUUCAUUAAAAUAAAUAAGGAAUCAAUGCAUGAUGAUAAUUACAUACUUGCAACCUCAGCUGCUUCAUCUUCAUCAAGUAUUGCAGCAAAGCCGUUAAUAUUUUUAUUGUAAGAAUAAAAUAUUGCUUCUUUGGCCUUCUCAGUGCUGAGUAAGAACAAAUAAAUUAAAUCUAAUCAAUUCAUUUUGGUUUUGUCACAUGAGAAUUUCAUAGUGAGGGUUUAAUUAGUUGUAUAGUACCAUACCUUCCAAGGUAAGAUCCAAGUAAAUCAUAGUGAGAGUUUGUGGCAGAUUCAAUAUCAAAUGAUGAAGGAUCUGGACCAUGAGAAUGUGAUCCUAAGUAUACAAUAUAGGACUAGAAAGAAAAAAAAUAAUAUGGAAGAUAAUUAGGUCACAAUCAAAAUGUUAACAUAUAAAAAUUAGAAAAUUAAUCGAAUAAUGAAAUAUGAUGCUUGACACAAAGCUUGCCUGUUUGAUUGCUAUGGUAGGUUCUGUCCAAAGAACACAAAUAAGAAGUGACACUAACACAUGAUGAAUGGAGGAUGGCAUUGUUAUUAUGAAUGAAAAACUAAUUUCGGAUAUGUGCAAAGGGUCUAUGCAUCCCCUGCUUAUAUAGAUCCGAUUAAUCUCUAUCUCUAUUAUAAAUAUAAAUAUAAAUAUUUGGCUUAAUUUUUUUUUUCAAAGUACACAGGUCAACUUUCUACUCUAAGCAUCAUUUAAUGAGAUAUCAUUUAAUGUUAUAUCAUGUUUAAUUAGUUGGUAACCGAAAAGAAAAGAGCAUUUUUUUUAAGGAAGAAAGGAGCGUUGUUGUUAGUGAGCAAAUAACGUUAGUAGCCUAAAAUUAGGGGGUUAAUUCAAUUGAGAUUUUAAAGGAUUUUAAAAGACUUUUUUGUUUUAAAAAUGUCUUUAGGUAUUUAAUCAAAACUUUUAAGUAAUCUAAAACAUUCUUGUGGUAUUCAAUUAGGAUUUUCAGAAUUUUUUAAUGAGUCCAAUAAAAUCCAGAGGUAUUCAAUUGAGAUUUUACACAACUUAAAAAUUGUCUAUUGGUAUUCAAAAUUCUAAGGAUUUUAAUGGGUUGUUGUGAGUAAUGGAUUUUGUGAGACUUUUUAGUGUAAAAUGUAUCUACCAACAAUCUCACACCUAGCCUUGAGACUUUUUUUGUCUCCCACACAUAGCCUUGAGACUUUUUUGCUUCUCGUUAUUUUUUUUUUACGGAAGUUGUUUCUCCGGUCACAACGUUGUUGUUCAUGCUCCAGUAAAAAAAUAUAUUGUUCCUGUGCACGUUCCAUAUUAUUACAUUUCAAGUAUUACAGAAAAUACGUAACAAACAGAAUUUCAAGUGUUACAGGAAAUACGUAAUAAAAGAAAUUCAUUUCAAGUGAUUUUGCUAUAGUUUCAUAGAGACUAUUUCAAGCAUUAAAAUAAUUCGGUGAUUUUACUAAAGUUUUGUUCAAGUCAUUUUUUUCUACUAAUUUAUUCUCAUUAUUAUUUAUUUUUUUAGCAGAUUGUUUUGUUGUUGUUAUAUGCCUAUUACUUUUUUUUUGGGUACAAUUAUAUGUCUAUUACUCUUAAGUGGCCAUUAUUUUUUUAAGGCAUUUUUAUUAUUAAUUUUUUUUGUCAAGUAAUAGUGGCUAGAUUCACACACAUUAUAUGUGUGGAGAAGUGGAAAAUUUGCGGUUUGAACCCCAACUUCUGCAGAAGUUAUCCCCAGUAGUUACCAACAGAGCUACACUUAUGGGAUAAGACAUUUUUUUAUUAUUAUUAUUAGUCAAUUUGAUAUUAUAGAUUUAUAAUAUUUUUUAAUCCACGGGUCAUUUUGAAUUUUUCUUAAAAAUUGAUACAAUAAUUUCAAAUCUGAAAAUCUUAUGAUGUAAAAGAGUUUGUAUUGUCUAAUGGUUUCGUAAAAAAAUAAAAAAAAUAAAUAAAAGAGUUUGUAUUGAGAAUAUUGUAAAAGAGUAUGUUAUAAUCAUUUCUUUCCAAUGAAUCCUUAAAAUCUUUUGAAAUCUUAUAAAAUCCAUAAAAUCUUUUCAAAUCCUUUAAAAUCUUAUGAUGUAAAUCCGUUGAAAUCCAUUAAAAUCAUGAAAGUCAUUAAAAUCAUGCAAAGUCUUUUAAAAUCCUUAAGACUUUUUAAAUAAAAAAUGUCCUUUAAAAUCUUAAUCCAAUACACCCCCUUAGUUUAAAAAAUUAUUGUUUUUGUACUUGGAUAAUAUUAGUAAUCAAAAAUCAAAUUUCUAAAUUAUUUCAGAACACGUCAAUUAAAAUUUUACAUGAUAUUUUAACUGUGUCAUUAUUGUGUUGUUGAUCCUUAAAAAAAAAUUAUUGUUUUGUUGAGCCAAUUAUAUUGCAUCAUUUUGUUACAUCUUAUUUUUUUUGUUUUUUUAGUGCUUCAAAUUUUGUUUAUACUUUUUUUUAUAGUCCAAAUUUUGUUUUUACAAAAAAAGGUAUGAAAUGAUCCAUCCUUAAUUUUAUUUGGUCAACAAAUUUCUUUUUUUUUUUUUUUCUUUUCUUUCGCACCGAUUUUCGACCCACCAUUGGUGGACGACUAAUCCGACUCAUGCAUAGAGGUAUGCGCACUGGUCAAGUGUUGUUCCCCUGGGAAUCAAACCCGGUAUUCCCCGGGUACAUCUUUGAAAGGAGCUCCUCUCCACUGGAGUCCAAACAACUUAGUUAUUUGGUCAACAAAUUCUUUUUUUUUUUUUUUGACUUUCGCACCGGUUUUCGACCCACUAAAGGUGAACGACUAAUCCGGCUCAUGCGUAGAGGCAUGCGCACUGGCCAAGCGUUGUUCCUCCUGGGAAUUGAACCCGGUAUUUCCCGGGUACGUCCUUGGAAGGAGCUCCUAACCACUGGAGUCUGGAGCCCAAACAACUUGGUUAUUUGGUCAACAAAUUCUAAUCACACUAUUACUGGCAAAAUAUAUAUUUUUACUUUAAUACGAACAAUUUUAUUACCUUAACCGAAGAGUUGAUAAUUUGUCACACUCAAUUUCGCUAAUCAUGUAUGAAUUUUCCUCUCUUUAAAAAAAAAAAGUAUUAAUUUUCCUAAUCAUGGAAAUUUCUAAGCUACAAUACUAUUCAUGUAACUAAAAGUAUUACUUUGCCUUUACUAAGAAGAUUUUAAGCCAAUGUAAUAUUCAUUUAACCGAAAACUGAUGAUACAUCAACUUUUUUAAUUGACUGAAGGUGUCAAUCAUGUCAUUAAAAAGAAUUCCUCUAAUGAUAGUUUUUUUUUUUGGUCAAGAACCUCCAAUGAUAGUUUAACAUGUGUCAAUUUUGUUUUGUUGAACCAGUCAUAUUGUUUAACUUUGGUUUUAUUGUGUCAUAUAUAUUAUUUUUUAUUGCUUCAAAUAAUAUUAUACUUAAGCUCUUAUCCUAUGUAUACCAUAUGUUUUAUUCGGUUCUUUCAUCUUCUUCUCCCUGCAACCUAAAAUAAAAAACAUAUGUACAAUUAACUAAUGUAUGCAAUAUUAUCUUUCUUGCACAUAUUAUUAUGUAUAUUUUUAAAUCUUGAUAAGUGUUUUGAUAACUUUUCUUAGAGUUUUUCUAUUUACACCCCAUGUUUUUCUGGUUACACCCAAAUUUUCUUAAAAAAAAAUUAUAAUACCAAAAUUGCCCUUUUACAUAAAUUUUCUUAAAACCCUAAUUUUAUUCAUUGUCAGUGAGUUUCACCCUCUUUCACCCCACAAAGCGAUUGAUCAAACAAUUUGAUGUUCAAUAUCAAUCUCCAUGAAAAUUAAAGAGUGAAUCAAAAUAUUUUUCAUCCAUACUCAAUUGGAUAUAAGUGAGUGAAUUUCUUCUUCUAUUUGCUAGUUUCAAUUUUUUUCCUUCAACUGCACUGAUGCACUGUACCAUUACGGUUUUAAUUUACAUUGGCAAGGUUAACUUAAAUUCAGUUUAAGUAGGUUCAUGUAAACUUAGUUUACAUGAACCUACUUAAACUGAGUUAACAUGAACCUACUUAAACUGAGUUUACAUGAACAUACUUAAACCGAGUUUACAUGAACAUACUUAAACUGAGUUUACAUGAACCUACUUAAAUUGAGUUUACAUGAACCUACUUAAAUUGAGUUUACAAAAUCGCAGAACUGUGAAUCGCAGAACAAGGAAAACACAAAAUCAGAACUGAGAACCCAUAACAAGAAAAACACAAUCGAUUGAAGAACAACACUUGCUAACCUGAUUUGCUUCGAAUUUUCUUUGAAAUCAUGAAUGGACGUGAGAAAGUAUGGUUUUGAAAAUCUUCGCAGAACACAAUCGAUCGAUUGGAGAAUUAUGGUUUUGGAAGAAGGGUUUUGGGGUGUAACCAAAAAAGAAGGAAUAGGCUUUUUGAAAAUCAAAUUUUAUGAAAGGGUAAUCUUGUCAUUUUGGG